CGUAAGGUAAGAGAGCUUUCUUUAGUCCACUCAUGGGUGGCAAUAAGAUAUCAAUUAGCUGCUGACUCAUUCAUCCAAAUGUUGAGUGAAUAUAUAGAUACAAUAUACUCAUCAAAUGAGUGAAUGAUGCGGGAGACAAAUUGAAUCUUAAGUUUCCUAUACUUGGACUGAAGGGAGCUCCCUUUUCUUCCUUU
rnacentral:pre_miRNA from 1 species